rnacentral:rRNA from 1 species
AGUGAACGCUGGCGGUAGGCCUAACACAUGCAAGUCGAACGGCAGCACAGGAGAGCUUGCUCUCUGGGUGGCGAGUGGCGGACGGGUGAGGAAUACAUCGGAAUUUACUCUGUCGUGGGGGAUAACGUAGGGAAACUUACGCUAAUACCGCAUACGACCUACGGGUGAAAGCAGGGGACCUUCGGGCCUUGCGCGAUUGAAUGAGCCGAUGUCGGAUUAGCUAGUUGGCGGGGUAAAGGCCCACCAAGGCGACGAUCCGGAGCUGGUCUGAGAGGAUGAUCAGCCACACUGGAACUGAGACACGGUACAGACUCCUACGGGAGGCAGCAGUGGGGAAUAUUGGACAAUGGGCGCAAGCCUGAUCCAGCCAUACCGCGUGGGUGAAGAAGGCCUUCGGGUUGUAAAGCCCUUUUGUUGGGAAAGAAAUCCAGCUGGCUAAUACCCGGUUGGGAUGACGGUACCCAAAGAAUAAGCACCGGCUAACUUCGUGCCAGCAGCCGCAGUAA